GCGGCGGUGAGAAGAGCGAGGCGGAGGAGGGGGUGCCAUGGCCGGGCAGCAGUUCCAGUACGAUGACAGUGGGAACACCUUCUUCUACUUCCUCACCUCCUUCGUGGGGCUCAUCGUGAUCCCGGCGACAUACUACCUCUGGCCCCGAGAUCAGAAUGCCGAGCAAAUUCGAUUAAAGAAUAUCAGAAAAGUAUAUGGAAGGUGUAUGUGGUAUCGUUUACGGUUAUUAAAACCCCAGCCAAAUAUUAUUCCUACAGUAAAGAAAAUAGUUCUGCUUGCAGGAUGGGCAUUGUUCUUAUUCCUUGCAUAUAAAGUUUCCAAAACAGACCGAGAAUACCAAGAAUACAAUCCUUAUGAAGUAUUAAAUUUGGAUCCUGGAGCCACAGUAGCAGAAAUUAAAAAACAAUAUCGUUUGCUGUCACUUAAAUAUCAUCCAGAUAAAGGAGGUGAUGAGGUUAUGUUCAUGAGGAUAGCAAAAGCUUAUGCUGCUUUAACGGAUGAAGAGUCCCGGAAAAAUUGGGAAGAAUUUGGAAAUCCAGAUGGGCCUCAAGCCACAAGCUUUGGAAUUGCCCUGCCAGCUUGGAUAGUUGACCAGAAAAACUCAAUUCUGGUUUUACUUGUAUAUGGAUUGGCAUUUAUGGUUAUCCUUCCAGUUGUUGUGGGCUCUUGGUGGUAUCGCUCAAUACGCUAUAGUGGAGACCAGAUUCUAAUACGCACAACACAGAUUUAUACAUACUUUGUUUAUAAAACCCGAAAUAUGGAUAUGAAACGUCUUAUCAUGGUUUUGGCUGGAGCUUCUGAAUUUGAUCCUCAGUAUAAUAAAGAUGCCACAAGCAGACCAACGGAUAAUAUUCUAAUACCACAGCUAAUCAGAGAAAUUGGCAGCAUUAAUUUAAAGAAGAAUGAGCCUCCACUUACCUGCCCAUAUAGCCUGAAGGCCAGAGUUCUUUUACUGUCUCAUCUUGCUAGAAUGAAAAUUCCUGAGACCCUUGAAGAAGAUCAGCAAUUCAUGCUAAAAAAGUGUCCUGCCCUACUUCAAGAAAUGGUUAAUGUAAUCUGCC
rnacentral:lncRNA from 1 species